GACGAACGCUGGCGGCGUGCUUAACACAUGCAAGUCGAACGGUAAGGCCCUUCGGGGUACACGAGUGGCGAACGGGUGAGUAACACGUGGGUGAUCUGCCCUGCACUUCGGGAUAAGCCUGGGAAACUGGGUCUAAUACCGGAUAGGACUCCGGACUGCAUGGUCUGGGGUGGAAAGCUUUUGCGGUGUGGGAUGGGACCGCGGCCUAUCAGCUUGGUGGGGGGGUGAUGGCCUACCAAGGCGACGAAGGGUAGCCGGCCUGAGAGGGUGCCCGGCCACACAGGACCUGAGAUACGGCCCAGACUCCUCCGCGAGGCAGCAGUGGGGAAUAUUGCACAAUGGGCGCGAGCCUGAUGCAGCGACGCCACGUGAGGGAUGACGGCCUUCGUGUUGUAAACCUCUUUCAGCAUCGACGAAGCGAAAGUGACGGUAGGUGCAGAAGAAGGACCGGCCAACUACGUGCCAGCAGCCGCCGUAA
rnacentral:rRNA from 1 species